UGGGGAAUUUUGGACAAUGGGCGCAAGCCUGAUCCAGCCAUGCCGCGUGAGUGAAGAAGGCCUUCGGGUUGUAAAGCUCUUUCGGCGGGGACGAAACGGUUCGUGACAACACCACGGACUAGUGACGGUACCCGCAUAAGAAGCACCGGCUAACUACGUGCCAGCAGCCGCGGUAAUACGUAGGGUGCAGGCGUUAAUCGGAAUUACUGGGCGUAAAGGGUGCGCAGGCGGUUUGUUAAGACAGGUGUGAAAUCCCCGGGCUUAACCUGGGAAUUGCAUUUAAUACUGUAUGACUAGAGUAGAGUAGAGGGAAGUGGAAUUUCCGGUGUAGCGGUGAAAUGCGUAGAUAUCGGAAAGAACAUCAGUGGCGAAGGCGGCUUCCUGGACUCAUACUGACGCUGAGGCACGAAAGCAUGGGGAGCAAACAGGAUUAGAUACCCGUGUAGUCCCUGAGCGGGCUGGCAAGGCGCAU
rnacentral:rRNA from 1 species